rnacentral:rRNA from 1 species
CCUGCCAGUAGUCAUAUGCUUGUCAUAAGGAUUAAGCCAUGCAUGUGCAAGUGUAAGCGAUUCAUAUUCGCAAGACUGCGAAAGGCUCAUUAAAUCAGUUGCAGUUUACUUGAUCGGCGAGACAAAACACAUGGAUAACUGUAGUAAUUCUAGAGCUAAUACAUGCUCACAGGCCCAUGCUCUUGGGUAUGGGCCGCUCUUGUCUCUGCAAAACCCGCAGGAGGGGGUAGCAAUACUCUCUCCAGUGAGGUCGACUCCUGACAAUUUCGCGAAUCGCACGCUCUAGCAGCGGCGAUACUUCAUUCAAACUUCUGACCUAUCAACUUUGGAUGGGAGGGUAGUGGCCUCCCAUGGUCGCAACGGGUAACGGGGAAUUGGGGUUUGAUUCCGGAGAGGGGGCCUGAGAGAUGGCCACCACUUCCAAGGAAGGCAGCAGGCGCGCAAAUUAUCCAAUGCUGACACAGCGAGAUAGCGACGUGACAUAACAAUGCCUGCCCCUUCGGGGGUGGGCAAUUGGAAUGAGUACAAUUUAAAUCCCUUAACGAGGAACAAUUAGAGGACAAGUCUGGUGCCAGCACCCGCGGUAAUUCCAGCUCUAAGAGCGUAUAUUAAAGUUGUUGCAGUUAAAACGCUCGUAGUCUAAACUUGAGGUAGAUGGACAUUUCGGUCUCCCGGGAUGGGUAGUACUAAUGCUGUCUGCCUCUCUGCAGGACCAGGGGGGGAUGCACUUGAAUGGGCAACUCCCACUACCUGUACAUUCACUGUGAGUAAAUUAGAGUGUUCAAAGCAGGCCAGCGUGCCAAUAAAUAUACUAGCAUGGAAUGAUCGAACAUGACUGGGUGUCCGUUCUGCGGGUACUCAUUCGGGCAGCUAGUAAUGAUCAAUGGGGGAGGUCGGGGCCGUCCAUAUGGCAUGGCUAGAGGUGAAAUUCUUGGACCCAUGCCAGAUGAACAAUUGCGAAGGCAGUCGGCCAGUACUCUUCCAUCGAUCAAGAACGAAAGUUUGGGGAUCGAAGACGAUCAGAUACCGUCGUAGUCCAAACUGUAAACGAUGCCGACCAAGGAUCGGCGGGCGUACUUUUUCUAGGACACUGUCGGCACUCUAGUGGAAACAUUUGAGUGUUUGGGUUCCGGGGGGAGUAUGGUCGCAAGGCUGAAACUUAAAGGAAUUGACGGAAGGGCACACCAGGAGUGGAGCCUGCGGCUUAAUUUG